AUUGAACGCUGGCGGCAGGCCUAACACAUGCAAGUCGAGCGGAUGAGUGGAGCUUGCUCCAUGAUUCAGCGGCGGACGGGUGAGUAAUGCCUAGGAAUCUGCCUGGUAGUGGGGGACAACGUUUCGAAAGGAACGCUAAUACCGCAUACGUCCUACGGGAGAAAGCAGGGGACCUUCGGGCCUUGCGCUAUCAGAUGAGCCUAGGUAGGAUUAGCUAGUAGGUGAGGUAAAGGCUCACCUAGGCGACGAUCCGUAACUGGUCUGAGAGGAUGAUCAGUGACACUGGAACUGAGACACGGUCCAGACUCCUACGGGAGGCAGCAGUGGGGAAUAUUGGACAAUGGGCGAAAGCCUGAUCCAGCCAUGCCGCGUGUGUGAAGAAGGUCUUCGGAUUGUAAAGCACUUUAAGUUGGGAGGAAGGGCAGUAAGUUAAUACCUUGCUGUUUUGACGUUACCAACAGAAUAAGCACCGGCUAACUUCGUGCCAGCCGCCGCCAUAACAC
rnacentral:rRNA from 1 species